ACGGCUCAGUAACACGUAGUCAACAUGCCCAGGGGACGUGGAUAACCUCGGGAAACUGAGGAUAAACCGCGAUAAGUCACUACUUCUGGGAUGGGUAAUGACUAAAAUCUACAUGGCCCCUGGAUUGGACUGCGGCCGAUCAGGCUGUUGGUGAGGUAAUGGCCCACCAAACCUGUAACCGGUACGGGCUCUGAGAGGAGGAGCCCGGAGAUGGGCACUGAGACAAGGGCCCAGGCCCUAUGGGGCGCAGCAGGCGCGAAACCUCUGCAAUAGGCGAAAGCCUGACAGGGUUACUCUGAGUGAUUUCCGUUAAGGAGAUCUUUUGGCACCUCUAAAAAUGGUGCAGAAUAAGGGGUGGGCAAGUCUGGUGUCAGCCGCCGCGGUAAUACCAGCACCCCGAGUGGUCGGGACGUUUAUUGGGCCUAAAGCAUCCGUAGCCGGUUCUACAAGUCUUCCGUUAAAUCCACCUGCUUAACAGAUGGGCUGCGGAAGAUACUAUAGAGCUAGGAGGCGGGAGAGGCAAGCGGUACUCGAUGGGUAGGGGUAAAAUCCGUUGAUCCAUUGAAGACCACCAGUGGCGAAGGCGGCUUGCCAGAACGCGCUCGACGGUGAGGGAUGAAAGCUGGGGGAGCAAACCGGAUUAGAUACCCGGGUAGUCCCAGCUGUAAACGAUGCAGACUCGGUGAUGAAUUGGCUUUAUGCCAAUUCAGUGCCGCAGGGAAGCCGUUAAGUUUGCCGCCUGGGGAGUACGGUCGCAAGACUGAAACUUAAAGGAAUUGGCGGGGGAGCAC
rnacentral:rRNA from 1 species